GAAAAACAACAGAAACGUGUCAAAGUCAAAUAAUGGCUUAUGUAGGUCACUAACCUCCUUGUCCUUGGAAGCAGCACGCAACCUUAUCUUUGACCAAGCAAUAAUGAAGAGCUAGUCGCCAAUAUGGCAUCCACUCCAAUGAGGCAAUGUGAUUGAUUUAGCGGAAAUGUUCACUGUUUCGCUGUAGAUUUUCCUAGUAAGGGCCAAAAGAGAGCUUCGCUUAACUACUGUAGGCAGUUCCCGACACAAGCUAAAUGCUAACCUGACUUUAAGGAUAAACAACACAUUGUCAUUAUGAAAUGUUUUAAGAGUGCUAGUAGUAAUCAUGAAUCUAAUCCUCAUUAUCACCGAAAUCGUGGUAGCAAGUGUCUGUCAUUCUACCAAUGGACACCAGGUUAAGAAACCUCAAAAGUGUGUUUUUAAAAAUCUUAAACGCUACUGGGCAUUAAGGCGUGCCAGAGAGAUUGCCUCCUUUAAGCGAGACAUAAUAAAACAGGGAGCAUUAUAACGGGCAACAGCAAUAAACGGCAUCAGAAAGACAGGAAAUUAUAGCUAGUAGAUAAUGAACAAGAGUGAUUUGAGAUUGAGGCCACAUGGUGGUUGCAAGUAGUUGAUGAG
rnacentral:misc_RNA from 1 species